rnacentral:tRNA from 1 species
UUUUGAAUACUAAAUAUUUAGUGUAGGAUUGUAAAUCUUAUUUAGAAAAUUUUUUCUC